AGGAUUAACGCUGGCGGCGUGCCUGACACAUGCAAGUCGAACGAGGCCGCAAGGCCGAGUGGCGGACGGGUGAGUAACACGUGACCAACCAACCUCGAAGUCGGGAAUAGCUCUGCGAAAGUAGGGGUAAUACCGAAUGUGGCCCAGGGCGGGCAUCCGCCUUGGUCUAAAGAUUCAUCGCUUCGAGACGGGGUCGCGGCCUAUUAGCUUGUUGGUGAGGUAACGGCUCACCAAGGCGAUGAUGGGUAGCUGGUCUGAGAGGACGACCAGCCACACUGGGACUGAGACACGGCCCAGACUCCUACGGGAGGCAGCAGUGAGGAAUCUUCCGCAAUGGGCGAAAGCCUGACGGAGCAACGCCGCGUGUGGGAUGAAGACUCUAGGGUUGUAAACCACUGUCGGAGGGGACGAUCGUGACGGUACCCUCCAAGAAAGCCCCGGCUAACUACGCGCCAGCAGCCGC
rnacentral:rRNA from 1 species